GAGGUGCCCCGAGGAACAACUUGACCUAGAACUGCCCAGCUUGUAGUGUUUUGAGCUGAACUUUUGUUUACCAGAGACCUGAUUUAUGGUAUUUUGAUAUAGCAGCUGCAAAAAAUUAUAUAAAUUCACAUGAUAGAGAGCUCAUCAGUUUCACCAUCUCAUUGUAUUACGCAUCUCUCUUUUUGCAAUGCUGAGGAUAGAACUCAAGGCUCUGUGUGUACUAGACAGCGCUCAUCACUGAGCCCCAUCCCCAACAUCUACUUUUUUUUUUUUUUUUUUUGGUUUUUCGAGGANNNGUUGCAAUGUAUUCCAGCCUGGCCUGGAACUCCCUAUCCCUGAUGACUGCAAACUUCCAGUCUCCCUGCCUCUCAAGCCCAAGUGCUGAGGUUUCAGGUGCACGCUCUUAGCUGAUGGGACCUUGGGAAAGAGUGAUGGACUGGCACUAUGGAGUUACAUUCCCCCAUCCUACUAUUGCUAUUAUUUUAACUGAAAUAAAGCAUGAGUACAAGAUGGUUUAAAUCAUAAAACAUUAUGAAAUGUAAAAGAUCUCUGUUAUAAUUUUAUUUACUUGAUUAUUUAUGGUCCUGGACGUGGAAGCAUUUGCUCUCUCAUGGAAUGACUGCCCAAGUACUAAAGUUACAAUGUCAAAGUAAGUCUUGGAGGGGAAUAAGAGUUUAUACCAGUUUUGUUUUUCUUCUCCUCCCUCUCCUCUCAGAUACAGGGUCUCUCUGAAUAGCCUUGUCUGUCCUGGAAUUCACUAAGUAGACCAGGCUGGCCUUGAACUCCCAGAGAUCCACCUGCUUCUGCCUCUCCAGUACUGGGAUGAAAGGCCUGCACCACUGCCUAGCCUUUUUUUUUUUUUAAUUUUUUAUUAGGUAUUUUCCUCGUUUACANNNNN
ensembl:antisense Gm27209 predicted gene 27209